rnacentral:rRNA from 1 species
UCACCUGGUUGAUCCUGCCAGUGGUAUAUGCUUGUCUCAAAGACUAAGCCAUGCAAGUCUCAGUAUGAGUUAUCUUGUUGACGAAACUGCGAAUGGCUCGGUAAAACAGCAAUAAUUUCAUCGGUGAAUGAUUUACUCAACGGAUAACCGUAGUAAUUCUAGAGCUAAUACGUGACCAUAGCAAGGGUGGGAGCGCUGGGCGCACGCAAGUGUAGCACAGAGACACGCACCACCAGGCCGUUUAGAUAACAACACCAACACUAUGGUGAUUCAUAAACGUCUUUCUGAUCGUUCCGGGUGAACGACGCACCGUUCAAAUUUCUGACCUAUCAACUUUCGAUGGUAAGGUAGUGUCUUACCAUGGUGGCAACGGGUAACGGACCGUGGGUGCGGGACUCCGGAGAGGGAGCCUGAGAAACGGCUACCACAUCCAAGGAAGGCAGCAGGCGCGCAACUUACCCAAUCCAGACUCUGGGAGGUAGUGACAAGAAAUAUCAAUAGGGGAUCCUAUGGGUCUUCUAAUUGGAAUGAGAACAAGCUAAACAGCUUAACGAGAAUCCAGCAGAGGGCAAGUCUGGUGCCAGCAGCCGCGGUAAUUCCAGCUCUGUAAGCGUAUACCAAAGUUGUUGCAGUUAAAACGCUCGUAGUCGGAAUUUGGCGGUCUCACAAAGUGAUGCGAAUCGCUCGUACGCUUUGCCUUGGGAUCCGCUUUUGUGGGAGAAGUACCAGUGCGCGGUGUGUGCUGGUAUCUUUGCUUGCGUAGGAUGAGGUACAUUUAUUUGUAAACGUCCUUUCACGCACCCACUCUUUACUGUGAGAAAAUCAGAGUGCUCAAAGCAGGCUUGUGCCGUGAAUGUAUUAGCAUGGAAUAAUAGAAUAGGACUUGGUCUUAUUUUGUUGGUUGUUGUUAAGGUCGAGUAAUGAUUAAGAGGGACAGUUGGGGGCACUUGUAUUCCGGCGCUAGAGGUGAAAUUCUUAGAUUGCCGGAAGACAAACUGCUGCGAAAGCGUCUGCCAAGGAUGUUUUCAUUGAUCAAGAACGAAAGUAAGGGGAUCAAAGACGAUCAGAUACCGUCGUAGUCUUUACUAUAAACGAUGAGGACUGGGGAUCGGGCGAGGAAUUACGAUGACCCGCCCGGCACCCUUCGAGAAAUCAAAGUGUUUGCUUUCUGGGGGGAGUAUGGUCGCAAGGCUGAAACUUAAAGGAAUUGACGGAAGGGCAUCACCGGGUGUGGAGCCUGCGGCUUAAUUUGACUCAACACGGGAAAACUUACCAGGUCAGGACAUAGUGAGGAUUGACAGAUUGAGAGCUCUUUCUUGAUUCUAUGGUUGGUGGUGCAUGGCCGUUCUUAGUUGGUGGAGUGAUUUGUCUGGUUAAUUCCGUUAACGAGCGAGACCUGGGCGUGCUAACUAGGGGCCACUACUGCUUGUGUACCGCGCCGGCUGUGUGUGUGAUACUUUCGGGUAUUCACACUGUGGUUGUGUGUGUGUACUUUGCGCGUAGUGCGCGCUAACCCUUCUUAGACGGACAGUGGGCGUCUAGCCCACGGAAGCCCCAGGCAAUAACAGGUCUGAGAUGCCCUUAGAUGUUCUGGGCCGCACGCGUGCUACAAUGAGUGGUUCAGCGGGUUAGGUUGCGCGAAAGUGAAUCCUAAUCUUCAAAUCCGCUCGUGAUGGGGAUUGACGGUUGCAAUUUUCCGUCAUGAACGAGGAAUACCUUGUAAGCGCGGGUCAUCAUCCCGCGCUGAAUACGUCCCUGCCCUUUGUACACACCGCCCGUCGCUCCUACCGAUUGAGUGGUCCGGUGAAGCUUUGGGAUCUAGAUAGACGCCGCGCUUGCCGCGGUUUCCGUCGGGUGAACUCAGUUGAACCUUAUCAUUUAGAGGAAGGAGAAGUCGUAACAAGGUUUCCGUAGGUGAACCUGCAGAAGGAUCAAGCU